AGUGUUGGGAGAAAAAUCUGUCUCUAGGCUGGCUCUUCUAAUUCUACUGGGCUGUUCACAAACCUGAGGGAUAAAUCCUGAAAAAGUGUGACGCCAACAAAAUGUAGACGAACUGCGGGAACAGACGCAAGGCCACAGUGGCAGAUCAAAGCGAGGCGGCGAGGGGGCAGGCUCAGCUACGCAUGAUGAGGCACUACCAUAAUGAAGUUUGAUCCUGGUAAAGAACACAGGAGCCUGUAGAGGUCCAAGACCAGAAAUCAACCCCACACCCUGGCCCUCAGAAUAAAGAGAUUGUCAGGUCAACUCCACCACGUGCUAUUCACAGCUGUAGAGGAUGGAGCCCUGCACAACUCGUGUCACUCUCUUCUCUGAUAUGGCCCCGGUGCCUGGUCAUUUCUUGUUUAUUAUUUGUUUGAGGGAAGAAAGAAACAGGCUCUCUACUCCCUCGGCGGGGGGCAGGGUGAGGGGAUGGCCACUCGGAUGGAGGCCUGGCAGGCGCAGGAUUGAAUUCGGGCUGAAGGGCAUGGGAGAUGGAGUGACGGCUUCCUGGAAAAGACUGAGAUACAGCUGCACAGUAAUCCAGGCUGGCCACGAAGCUCGCCAUAAAGCCAGUAUGAGAAAUUCCUCCUGCCCGUAUGAUGCAUCCUUAUUUUUUACUUUUAAAAGAAGAACUAUCUUAUGAUUUGGCAUAGAUCAUUGAUCAUGGUGCUUUUCUAUCUCAAAUGUCUCCCAGUGUGUUCUGUGUCAAAUUUACAAAAGACACAGCCGUUAUUUCCACAAAACAUUGGAAGAUUGAGUGACCGUUUGCCUGUAGCUCCUAUCACUUACAAGAGAAGUCCCUUGGGCGUGCUUUACAGAAGCCACUUAUGGGCCCCAAGCAGUGAAAGAGAAAGGAGAGCAUUAGUGCUCCUUGCUGUGAUGGGCAGCUGGUGUUGCUGACCGUUCUGCAGCUCUUCCUCCUUGUCCUAACAGAACUCAGUGUUCCAACUGGAAAUCUCUGUCAUGUGGUUUGAGUGGAAUCUGUUCUACCACAGAGUUGUCAUGUGACCCAAGUUGGGCCAAUCAGAAUCCUCCUCAGGACUUUUCCAUGAGCUCUUUAAGGGAGCACUAGUUCCCUGAAAGGGCCGACUGCUGGCAGCCAUUUUUAUUAAGCAGUUGGAGAAAAACAUCCCCAAACUGAAGCCAAGCUAAGAAACCAAACUCAUUACCCAAUAUGUCUCUGAAUCUAGUCGUGCUUGAUUGCAGUAAUAAACUCCCUUUUCAGUUUUAUGAGCUAAUAAAC
rnacentral:lncRNA from 1 species